GGGGAUUUAGCUCAGUGGUAGAGCGCUUACCUAGCAAGCAUAAGGCCCUGGGUUCGGUCCCCAGCUCUG
rnacentral:tRNA from 1 species